AGUGAACGCUGGCGGUAGGCCUAACACAUGCAAGUCGAACGGCAGCACAGUAAGAGCUUGCUCUUACGGGUGGCGAGUGGCGGACGGGUGAGGAAUACAUCGGAAUCUACUUUUUCGUGGGGGAUAACGUAGGGAAACUUACGCUAAUACCGCAUACGACCUACGGGUGAAAGCAGGGGAUCUUCGGACCUUGCGCGAUUGAAUGAGCCGAUGUCGGAUUAGCUAGUUGGCGGGGUAAAGGCCUACCAAGGCGACGAUCCGUAGCUGGUCUGAGAGGAUGAUCAGCCACACUGGAACUGAGACACGGUCCAGACUCCUACGGGAGGCAGCAGUGGGGAAUAUUGGACAAUGGGCGCAAGCCUGAUCCAGCCAUACCGCGUGGGUGAGGAAGGCCUUCGGGUUGUAAAGCCCUUUUGUUGGGAAAGAAAAGCAGCAGGUUAAUACCCCGCUGUUCUGACGGUACCCAAAGAAUAAGCACCGGCUAACUUCGUG
rnacentral:rRNA from 1 species